rnacentral:rRNA from 1 species
UGAAGGCGUGUGCUAUACAUGCAGGUCGAGCGGAUUGACAGAGGUGCUUGCACCUCUCGAUUUUAGCGGCGGACGGGUGAGUAACACGUGGGUAACCUACCUAUAAGACUGGGAUAACUUCGGGAAACCGGAGCUAAUACCGGAUAAUAUUUAGCUUCGCAUGAAGCAAUAGUGAAAGACGGUUCUGCUGUCACUUAUAGAUGGACCUGCGGUGUAUUAGCUAGUUGGUGAGGUAACGGCUCACCAAGGCAACGAUACAUAGCCGACCUGAGAGGGUGAUCGGCCACACUGGGACUGAGACACGGCCCAGACUCCUACGGGAGGCAGCAGUAGGGAAUCUUCCGCAAUGGACGAAAGUCUGACGGAGCAACGCCGCGUGAGUGAAGAAGGUUUUCGGAUCGUAAAACUCUGUUGUAAGGGAAGAACAAGUACGUUAGUAACUGAACGUACCUUGACGGUACCUUACCAGAAAGCCACGGCUAACUACGUGCCAGCAGCCGCGGUAAUACGUAGGUGGCAAGCGUUAUCCGGAAUUAUUGGGCGUAAAGCGCGCGUAGGCGGUCUCUUAAGUCUGAUGUGAAAGCCCCCGGCUCAACCGGGGAGGGUCAUUGGAAACUGGGAGACUUGAGUACAGAAGAGGAGAGUGGAAUUCCAUGUGUAGCGGUGAAAUGCGCAGAGAUAUGGAGGAACACCAGUGGCGAAGGCGGCUCUCUGGUCUGUAACUGACGCUGAGGUGCGAAAGCGUGGGGAUCAAACAGGAUUAGAUACCCUGGUAGUCCACGCCGUAAACGAUGAGUGCUAAGUGUUGGGGGGUUUCCGCCCCUCAGUGCUGCAGCUAACGCAUUAAGCACUCCGCCUGGGGAGUACGGUCGCAAGACUGAAACUCAAAGGAAUUGAAGGGGACCCGCACAAGCGGUGGAGCAUGUGGUUUAAUUUGAAGCAACGCGAAGAACCUUACCAAAUCUUGACAUCCUUUGACACUCUAGAGAUAGAGCUUCCCCCUUCGGGGGACAAAGUGACAGGUGGGUG